GACGAACGCUGGCGGCGUGCUUCACACAUGCAAGUCGAACGCAGUGGCGCACGGGUGAGUAAUACGUGGGUAACCUGCCCUCCUUUUUGGGAUAAGCCUUGGAAACGGGGUCUAAUACCGAAUAAAGGGGGCUGGGCUCGCGGCCUAUCAGCUUGUUGGUGGGGUGAUGGCCUACCAAGGCGGUGAAGGGUAGCCGGCCUGAGAGGGGGUCUGGCCACAUGGCGAGAGAAAAACGGCCCAUACUCCUACGGGAGGGAGCAGGUGGGGAUAUUGCACAAUGGGGGAAAGCGCGAUGCAGCGAGGCCGAGUGGGGGAUGAAGGCUUUCGGGUUGUAAACCUCUUUCGCUAGCGAACGGGAAGGUGGAGAAGAAGCGCCGGCUAACUACGUGCCAGCAGCCGCGGUAAUAC
rnacentral:rRNA from 1 species